rnacentral:lncRNA from 1 species
AGGGCCAGACCUGCUGCAUAUGGAGGCUCCCAGCCUAGGGGUCUAAUGGGAGCUUUAGCCACCACCUACACCACAGCUCACAGCAACGCCAGAUCCUUAACCCACUGAGCGAGGCCAGGGAUUGAACCUGCAAUCUCAUGGUUCCUAGUCGGAUUUGUUUCCACUGUGCCAUGACGGGAACUCCCCCAGGGUUAAUCUUUUAAAAGGAGGCUCCUAUGAUUCCUUAAUUCUGAUAGAACAGACCUUAUAAACAGAUGAACUGCACCAGCACUAUCCAACAGAACUUUCUUCCAUAGGAAAAUGUUCUCUUUGUGAUAGCCAAUGUAUGGAAGCCACCAUGCACACGUGACACUGGACACUUGAAAUAUCAUCAGUAUAAUGAAGGGACUGAAUUUUAAAUUUUAUUUUACAUUUAAAUAUAAAUUUAAAUAGCCACGUGGCUAGUGGCUAUUCUAUAGCAUGGAUCUAUACCCUUCAGGAAAGAAAUGAUCUUCCAUGUUAUUUUAUUCCUUAAGGGAGUAUUUUUGUCAAUGGUCAGGCCCCCUUCUCCUCUUGCCCUAUAUAGAAGGGUACCACCAGGCAAAUAUGAGGGUGUGUGGAGAGGAGAUGGAAAUGAAGACAAAGGAGGUAGGCAAGAAAGUGAGAACAAGGAGGACAAGUAUUUCAAGAGGAUGCCCCCUGUUUAAAAUUGAAAUGUAGCUGAUUUACAAUGUUGUGCUAACUUCAGCUGUACAGCAGUGAUUCAGCUGUACAUCUAUGUACACUUUUAAAAAAAGUAUUCUUUUCCAUUAUGGUUUAUCAUAGAAUAUUGAAUAUAGUUCCCUGUGCUAUACUGUAGGACCUUGUUGUUUAUGAAUCCUAAUAUAAUAGUUUACAUCUGCUAACCCUAAAUUCUCAAUUCAUUCCUCCCCUCCCCUUUCCCUGUUGGGAACCACAAGUCUGUUCUGCAUGUCUGUGAAUGUUUCUGUUUCAUAAAAGUUCAUCUGUGUCAUAUUUUAGAUUCCUCCUAUAGGUGAUAUCAUAUGGUAUUUGUCUUUCUCUGUCAAACUUACUUCACUUAGUAUGGUAAUCUCUAGUUCUAUCCAGGUUGCUGCAAAAUGGCAUCUGUUCUUUUUAUGACUGCGUAAUAUUCCAUGGGCCCUUGGGUUAUUUCCAAAUCUUGGCUCUUGUGAAUAGUGCUGCUGUGUCUUUUGGGUCAUGUGUCUUUUCGAAUUACAUUUUUGGAGGAUGUACCUUUCCUCCCCCAAAAUGCUAGGGAACUCAUACAGACCACAUACUGUUAAGAUUAAAUAGAAAUUGGUUUUCAUAUCUGCAAAGAGAAAUGAUCCUCAUAAUCAUAUAAUCAUCCCUCAGUAUAGGCGGAGGACUGGUUCCAGGACCCUUGUCAGACCAAAAUCUGAGGAUGCUCACGUCCUUUAUAGAGAAUGGUCUGGUAUUUUCAUAUAACCUAUAUACAUUCUCCCCAUCCUUAUAAUCACUAUCUCUAGAUUACCUAUGCUACCAAAUACAAUGUAAAACUUUGUAAGUGGUCUCCAGUGUGGGACAAAUCCAAGUUUUGAUUUUUUGAAUUUUCUGUAACUUUGUUUUCCCCUGGAGGAUACUUUUGACAGGUUGGUUGAAUCCUCAAUGCAGAAGCCUAAGAUGCAGAGGGCUGGCUGUACUAUAUUGCUUCAAGUGAAUGUGCUCUUUCCCUUCUAUUUCCCAAAGCAUUGCAUAUCUCUGAGAAGGCUCACCACAGUCCACUUCACAGUCCUGUUGUAAAUCUAACAUUCCCUAACAGCCCCUGCUGGCUCUGAAGGUAGAAAAUUUAUUUGUAUUCAAAUUCUUUCUAUUGUUAUGGCAAGCAAGAGUUAAUAAAAUUUUAUUAUAAAUAUAUAAUUUCUAUAAAAGAACAGGAGUUGGCAUGGCAGGCAUUAAUUUAAAAUGAAGGUAUAGGAAUUCUCAUGGUGGCUCAGGGGUAACAACCCAACUAGUAUCCAGGAGGACUUGGGUUCGAUCCCUGGCCUUGCUCAGUGGGUUAAGGAUCCAGUGUUGCCGUGAGCUGUGAUGUAGGUCGAAGGCUCGGUUCAGAUCCUGCAUUGCUAUAGCUGAGGUGUAGGUCGGCAGCUCUAACUCCUAUUCGACCCCUAGCCUGGGAACUUCCAUGUGCCAUGCGUGUGGCCCUAAAAAGACAAAAUAGUAAUAAUAAAGUGAUAUAAAAUAAAAUAAAAUGAAGGUCUAUCAGUUUCUGUUGUAGCUCAGCAGGUUAAGAAUCUGACUAGCACCCAUGAGGAUGUGGGUUUGAUCCCUGCCCUUGCUCAGAGGGUUAAAGGAUCCAGCAUUGCUGCGAGCUGUGGUGUAGUCAGAUUUGUUAAUCACUGAGCCAUGAUGGGAACUCCUGGGCAGUUUUUUCUAACUCUCCUCCCUGCCCCUUUUGCUACACACACACUUUUGGGAGUCACUCUGGGCCGAGCCCAUUGUUGCUGAUGGAAAUGUACUUUUCAGAUGUGUUGAGGUGUUUAAAAAAGAAGGUUGAAAAUGAUUUUCCUAAAAACCUAUGUUGACAGUUCUUCACAGGUUCUGGGUGCACACAAACACAAUUCUUACAAGAAGUGCCAAUGCAAACUAUAUACCUUUCUUAAAGACCAUCCUCUAAUUAAGACAGAGAUGAGCAGUGGCAGUACUGAUCUAUAAUAAUGACUACCAUUUAUUGAGUGCAUAAUCUGUUUCAAGCAUUGUUCUAAACAGUUAACAUGUGCUGGUUAAUUUAAUCAUCAUGGCAGCUCUAUGAGAUAGAUAAUAUUGUUAUCCUAU